rnacentral:rRNA from 1 species
AAAGAAACCAACCGGGAUUGCCUCAGUAACGGCGAGUGAAGCGGCAAGAGCUCAAAUUUGAAAGCUGGCUCCUUCGGGGUCCGCAUUGUAAUUUGCAGAGGAUGCUUCGGGCGCGGCCCCCGUCUAAGUGCCCUGGAACGGGCCGUCGGAGAGGGUGAGAAUCCCGUCUGGGACGGGGUGUCCGUGUCCGUGUGAAGCUCCUUCAACGAGUCGAGUUGUUUGGGAAUGCAGCUCUAAAUGGGUGGUAAAUUUCAUCUAAAGCUAAAUAUUGGCCGGAGACCGAUAGCGCACAAGUAGAGUGAUCGAAAGAUGAAAAGCACUUUGAAAAGAGAGUUAAACAGCACGUGAAAUUGUUGAAAGGGAAGCGCUUGCGACCAGACUCGCUCGCGGGGUUCAGCGGGCCUUCGGGCCCGUGUACUUCCCCGUGGGCGGGCCAGCGUCGGUUUGGGCGGCCGGUCAAAGGCCUCCGGAAUGUAGCACCCUUCGGGGUGCCUUAUAGCCGGGGGUGCAAUGCGGCCUGCCUGGACCGAGGAACGCGCUUCGGCACGGACGCUGGCAUAAUGGUCGUAAGCGAC